rnacentral:rRNA from 1 species
CCUACGGGAGGCAGCAGUGGGGAAUAUUGCACAAUGGGGGAAACCCUGAUGCAGCGACGCCGCGUGAGCGAUGAAGUAUUUCGGUAUGUAAAGCUCUAUCAGUAGUGAAGAUAAUGACGGUACCUGACUAAGAAGCUCCGGCUAACUACGUGCCAGCAGCCGCGGUAAUACGUAGGGGGCAAGCGUUAUCCGGAUUUACUGGGUGUAAAGGGAGCGCAGACGGCUGUGCAAGCCAGAUGUGAAAGCUAGGGGCUCAACCCCAGAACUGCAUUUGAAACUGUGAUGCUAGAGUGUAGGAGAGGCAGGCGGAAUUCCUGGUGUAGCGGUGAAAUGCGUAGAUAUUGGGAGGAACACCAGUGGCGAAGGCGGCCUGCUGGGCGUUGACUGACGUUGAGGCUCGAAAGCAUGGGGAGCAAACAGGAUUAGAUACCCGAGUAGUC